CCAAAAGGUGCUCUCAGAAGAUGGUCAGUUCUCAGCUCUUUCACUGAUGUCCUGUUUUCGGCUGCCUGUGAUAGAGAAGAAGAAUAUCUAGUGGAAAUCGGUUGAAUGAAUUAGCUUCUGAGGUACAAAUGAUUUUCUGUGCCUACAAUUUUCAAGAGAGAGACUUUGAAAAUGUGUAUGAUGCAACAAAGUUUGCUUUGCAAUCCAGCAAGGUCUGCAGCUGAAAAAUGAGGCAGCAGCAAUCAGGGAAGAACUGCAGACAAUUGUUCUACAGCCACUGU